rnacentral:rRNA from 1 species
GUGGGGAAUAUUGCACAAUGGGGGAAACCCUGAUGCAGCGACGCCGCGUGAAGGAAGAAGUAUCUCGGUAUGUAAACUUCUAUCAGCAGGGAAGAUAGUGACGGUACCUGACUAAGAAGCCCCGGCUAACUACGUGCCAGCAGCCGCGGUAAUACGUAGGGGGCAAGCGUUAUCCGGAUUUACUGGGUGUAAAGGGAGCGUAGACGGUGUGGCAAGUCUGAUGUGAAAGGCAUGGGCUCAACCUGUGGACUGCAUUGGAAACUGUCAUACUUGAGUGCCGGAGGGGUAAGCGGAAUUCCUAGUGUAGCGGUGAAAUGCGUAGAUAUUAGGAGGAACACCAGUGGCGAAGGCGGCUUACUGGACGGUAACUGACGUUGAGGCUCGAAAGCGUGGGGAGCAAACAGGAUUAGAAACCCUGGUAGUCC